UGCCACAUUAUUCUACCCUUCGAACAAAAAAUUUCUCUAACACCCCUGUAUAAGUUAAGUCAAUAUUCUACCUCUUACUCAAGGGCUUGAGCCAUAAAUCUUACAAACAUGCGUGUCGUCGGCCAGUGGGUGGAUUUGGCAUAGGGAAAAAUAACAUCUCAUUUGCCGCUAAUUCGUCUAACGGUGAUCAACUACAAAUGAAGGCUUCAGUGAGAUUCAAAUCACCGAAUUAAAUAACUAGCCAAUGAACAUUAAUACAUGGUGUAUUUUUCCGCAGUGUAUCGUUAAGUUGUUGUUAUAGAAUGAGUAGUAUCUGUAGAAUUUUUGUUUUAACAUCUUAAACAUACUACAAAUUGCUUUUGAACUGAUGAAGCUUUCGAAAUUGUAAAGCGAAACGUUUUCAAUAUAUCAAUGAAGUAGUUGA
rnacentral:lncRNA from 1 species